AACGCUGUUGAAAUAGUACAUUACGCACCUAGGGCAGGAAAAUAAGAAAUGUCUCAGAUCACAUGUAAUUGUUGACCGAGGCGAAGCCGAGGUUAACAAACAUGUGAUCUGAGGCUUUCUUAUUUACUGCCCAUAGUGCGUAUACUAUUUUGCUCAUCGACGGAGGCGGAA